rnacentral:tRNA from 1 species
GGAAAAAUAGUUUAAAAAAUAAUCAAUUGUGAUUUGAUAGAUGGAGAUACUCCUUUUUCCU